rnacentral:lncRNA from 1 species
UUCGUUGAAGAUUGUGUCAGGCUUUCACUUUUUGCAAUGAAAUUCAUAAGUCGUUGCAAAUUUUCGUUGCUAAUUCAUUGGCUGGGAAAAAAUUCAUUAGAAAUUCGUUGCAAAAUUUUCGGCCACGUGAUUUCCAGUCAACGUGGGCAACGAAAGUUUUUUUGUUGCUAAAAGUGGGGCUUUAGCAACGAUUUUUCAAGCAACAGCUUUAUAAGUCGUUGCUAAAAG